CACUAGUGAUUGUGCGGCUGGAUCCCCUCCUUUCUAGGUGACAGCGAAUCGGGCGCCAAUCGAGCCAUUCGACGCCGCGAGAUCUCCGGAUCCCGCGACGAGCGCCUCUUGAUUCAAGUCUCCAGGUCGGUCUAGGAGUCUCCACACACGCGUGCGCUGUUCAGCUUAUUUGGAAAGCGCGCUCUAACAGUGUUCUAUCCUGUCUCAUCGUGGGCCUAUAGCUCAGGUGGUUAGAGCGCGCGCCUGAUAAGCGCGAGGUCAGUGGUUCAAUUCCACUUAGGCCCACCAUUUUUCCGGGGAUAUAGCUCAAUUGGGAGAGCGCCGGCUUUGCAAGCCGGAGGUUGCCGGUUCGAUCCCGGCUAUCUCCACCAGGUAGGAGCCGAGUGGGAAGCGCCCAGCUGGCGCGACCGCUCCUCGACCAAUAGAUUGCAGUGCUCCGCGCCGGAGAGGUCCGGCGUCGAGUUUUGCGGUCUUUGACAACUGAAUAUGGGUUGACGGGUAAGGCGAGCCAUCGAGCAUCUGGAAUGUUCGGUCGAGCUACUAAGAGCGCAUGGUGGAUGCCUUGGCGUCAGAAGGCGAUGAAGGACGUGAUAAGCUGCGAUAAGCUGCGGAGAGCCCCAAAUAGGCCGAGACCCGCAGAUUUCCUAAUGGGGAAACCCU
rnacentral:misc_RNA from 1 species